rnacentral:rRNA from 1 species
AAUGAACGUUGGCGGCGUGGAUUAGGCAUGCAAGUCGUGCGGAAAGGCCCCGCAAGGGGUACUCGAGCGGCGUAAGGGAUAGUAAUGCGUGGAUACCUGCCCUGGGGACGGGGAUAGCUGCUGGAAACGGCAAUUAAUACCCGAUGACGUCUCCGGACCAAAGGUGCAAUUCCGCCCUGGGAGGGGUCCGCGUCCUAUUAGCUAGUUGGUGGGGUAACGGCUCACCAAGGCCACGAUGGGUAGCGGGUGUGAGAGCACGACCCGCAUCACUGGGACUGAGACACUGCCCAGACACCUACGGGAGGCAG